rnacentral:lncRNA from 1 species
CUCAGUCAGGGAGACAUCCAUGCAUAAGGGGAGGGGUAUGGCAAAUAGAGGGCGUUCGAUUAACCUUUCUCACAUAGAUAGCUGAUACAUAUAAUCUUUCUUAAAUUGGAUGCUUUGUUGCUCAAAGUGAAGUUACUUAUGGGCAUAAUGUCAGCAUUUCGAUCCUAUUUAUGCUUAACGAAAGUUGCUUUGUUCAGUGUCACUUUUUAUAUUGUUUCGCUUGUGAUUCUAAGCUCACUUGUUUUAUAGCUGCUGUAGGUAUGGCUGGACCUGGAGAAGAAGUGUAAGCAGACCAUGCUAUGUUGCUGAUCUGCGCUGAUCUCCACAUCCAAGUUGGUCCCGCGACAGUUGGGCACCAUUGUGCCUUGCUUCAUUGACAAGGUGAUAUAAUAUGGUGCCCUGCUCGCUCUCACCCAAGCAACCCACUCCAGCGGUCUUCUCUCGGCAGACUGGAUGCAUCGAAAUACCGUUAGAAGGUCCAAUAAACAGUGCUUGGGACAUUUA